CGAGAGCUUACAGGACACAUAACAAUUAUUUAGUCUCAAACCGUCUCAUUUCAAUUUCCUUUCUAGCAAUUCUUGAUAGUCUUUGAUAUCUGAUGGUCUAGCCAGCAGAUAAACAUUGAGCGUUUUCUGAUGGACACAGUACUGGCACCAGAAACUGAUGAGAAAACAUUGGCUAGUGUCAUUAAUAAUUUUUUGUUUGCCGCCAGUGUUCUUGAACAUCAGUUCCAAUUUUAAAAAC